rnacentral:rRNA from 1 species
UACGUAGGGACCAAGCGUUGUCCGGAAUCAUUGGGCGUAAAGAGCGCGUAGGUGGCCACAUAAGUCCGUUGUGAAAGUCAAAGGCUCAACCUUUGAAAGCCGAUGGAUACUGUGUGGCUAGAGUACGGAAGAGGCGAGUGGAAUUCCUGGUGUAGCGGUGGAAUGCGCAGAUAUCAGGAGGAACACCAAUAGCGAAGGCAGCUCGCUGGGACGUUACUGACACUGAGGCGCGAAAGCGUGGGGAGCGAACAGG